ensembl:lncRNA
AAGUAAGAACCGCUUACGUCAGCGGCUGGGGGCGGGGUUACCGUGACCAACAAGACGAGAGAAACUUUGUGAUCCGCCAUUUUUCGAUAGCAGCUAAUCGAGCUAACAACAACACAAUGGACGCUACUAGGCAAAAACAGCACUGGUCAGACGAGGAAACAAGCUGCUUUCUUGCACUCUGGUCCUCUUCAGAAGUCCUGAAACUGUCUGCCAUCAACGACCGUGAAGACAACGUUGAGUUGCCGCCACCGCUGGGCUGCAGCUCUCCCGUGCCGUCGUGGAGCAGCUCUGGAGAAGCAUCUUCAGAACGGGGAAAAAUGAAGAGGUGGUACCUCGGAAAUCAUUCAAUAUCUGGAAAGGGCAGAUGAGAGGUUCCUGCAGCACAGCAAGGCAAUGGAUGAUGCCUUGUGUCAGGACAUGAGAGCGGACACCCAAUCCCUGCUUGGACUCAUGGGGCGCACGGUGGCCGUAUUGGAGACACAAGUUAAAAAAUAAUUUUGGUUGCCGCUUUUCAUGUCUUUUUUUUUUUUUUUACACAAUUGUUACCUGCAGAACUUUAUUUUUUUAAAAGAUUUCUGUUGUUUUUUUUGGUUUAAAUAAACAUGUUUAGUAAUGCAAAUAGCUGGUCCAGUUUCUUAAACACUUAACAGGCAAAUAUUGUAUUAUGGUUUGUGUUUUUAAUGUAAUUUACUUUUAUAUAAAUGUGUACAUUAAACAGCCAAGUGAUGCGAUUAGCUGCAUAUACAAAUCUAUAUUAUUUCGACAUGAAAUAUGAUUAAAAUCCAAGUUACUUUAUGAUUGGUAGUUAAUAAAAACUUGGUUGGUUUUAAUCCUGGCCAGAAGUGUGAAAGGGUUGUUGAUUGAGGAUGAUUGAUAAAUGACAUUAUCUUUUCUAAUAAUAAUGGAUGUUGUGUUCUCGUGGAGAUGUUUUCCCCUGCAGUGGAUUUCUAACUGGUGUUGCAUUUUCCUAAGGUCUCCGUAUCAUUGCUGCUUUUUUCGCACAAACCUUCCUGUGGUUAUGGGGACAAAACCAGACUGUGAGGCUCGUAGGCAUAUGGGGAAAAGGAAGAACAUCAUUGUCAGCUGUGCAUACCGGGCUCCCAACAAUAGCAUAGAGAAGUUCAAGGAGGUGAUGGAGAGUAUGGCUACAAACACCGAGCAAAAGGUAACUUUUCUCUGUGGCGAUUACAACAUCGAUCUUCUGAAUCCUAACAAACUAACACCGAUAGAGAAAUUCAUGGAUGCAAUGUACAGCAGAAGCUUGUAUCCUAUUAUUACUAAACCUAGUCGAAUUACAGUCCACUCUGCAACACUUAUAGAUAAUAUUUUUACUAAUAACCUAAUAGAUAAUAUAGAAAGUGGAUUAUUAUUAAAUGAUAUUAGUGACCAUCUGCCGGUGUUUGCAAUCUACAGCGGUACACCUAGGUUGGCUGAAAGGAAUGAAAUGAUAGAAAGGAGAUUAAGAACGGUUGACAAUCUAAACAAGUUCAGAAAUGAAUUAAGUGCACAAAACUGGAGAAAGGUUUAUGAGGCAGAGGAGGUUGAUUAUGCUUAUGAUUCCUUCCUGCAAACUUUUCUGAUGUUAUAUGACAGAUGCUGUCCAAUUCAGCAAAGCAGAAAACGAGCAAAUCGCUCAGAUAAACCUUGGCUUACAAAGGGUCUGUUGAACGCCUGUAAAAAGAAGAACUUCUUAUAUAAAGAGUUUAUCAAGAAUAGAAAUAAGGAGAAAG